rnacentral:tRNA from 1 species
UGGGGGAUCGUCUAGCGGUAGGACAUCUGGCUCUGAACCAGGAAACCGUGGUUCGAGUCCACGUCCCCCAG